CCGUGCAUCGUGCUCUAAGAUCGCUUUUCUCCAAGAAAUUUCAUUGGUUAUGAUACUGGUGGGGAUUUUGACAUUUUCAGACCAGUCCCUGACGCUGACUAGCCUGCUCUCAUUGGUCAGUCCAUGAAGCCCCUUGCUAGUUGGCUGUAGUGCCAGGCGACAGCAACAAAAGUUUAACAUUUUUCUAUUAUCUUGUGUCGCAUUGCAAGCCCCGUGUGCACGUUUACAUGAACGAGCGCAACAUUUCACAUGCACGAAUGUCACUUGGCUGGAGGAAGGCAGCGAUUUUCGCCUCAAUACGCAGGUUCCAUAGAAAAUGAUGGAGAAGGAGCGACGUC